CAAUAGCGUAUAUUAAAGUUGUUGCAGUUAAAAAGCUCGUAGUUGGAUUUCGGGGCCGACCGGGCGGUCUGUCGAGAGACACGCACUGCUCGGUGGCUCUUCCUCUCGGAGGCCCUGGCUGCCCUUAACUGGAGCGGGCAGGGGAUUCGGGACGUUUACUUUGAAAAAAUUAGAGUGUUCAAAGCAGGCCGGUGCUUGGAUACAUUAGCAUGGAAUAAUGGAAUAGGGCUUGGGUCCUAUUUUGUUGGUUUUCGGGACCGAGGUCAUGGUUAAGAGGGACAGUUGGGGGCAUUCGUAUUCAAUUGUCAGAGGUGAAAUUCUUGGAUUUAUGGAAGACGAACAACUGCGAAAGCAUUUGCCAAGGAUGUUUUCAUUAA
rnacentral:rRNA from 1 species